AUAUAUAUAUAUAGAGUGGGCUGGUAUGUUUCUAGAAGCACGGAGUCCUCUGUGCUUCUAAGUUGUUUUCGAUGUUCGGACUUUCGAAUUGACGAUCGGCUCUAUUAGAGUUGAUAUAGAGUAUUUGAAAUACCUAAAAAAUAAAUUUUGUGAUUUUUUGAUAUCAUUUGCCUAGUGAUUAAAGGGGCUCAAAAUCAAUAAUUUUAACGAUCGUGAUGAGCCGCUUGCAAGUUUAACGGUAUAGAAGUAUUCAAAUCAUAUAAACUUUUGAUAGAAAAUUCUUUAUACCGUAUAAAACAAGAUCAAUAAUUUUGAUCUAAAAUUUUAAUGCAAUAUCAUCAUAUUUUGUAAGAUUUUUAUUUUCAGUAGUUGAUUUUGAGCCAUUUCGAUCAUUAGGCAAAUAUUAUCAAAAAAUCGCAAAAUUUAUUUUCUAGAUACUUCAAAUACUCUAGAUCAAAUAUAACGGAGUCGAUCGUCGAUUCGAAAGUCCGAACAUCGAAAACAACUUGAAAAUACGGAACGCUCUGUAUUUCCAGAAGCAUACCAGAUGCACUAUAUAUAUUUUCAUUACACUCCUCUCCUUUCUCUCCUUU
rnacentral:lncRNA from 1 species